rnacentral:snRNA from 13 species
CCAUGAUUGCGUUGGCGGAGACAUUCCACAGACAUAUGGGCUUCAUGUGCGUGGAGGAUGACGUGGUCAAGGUGCAUGCCUUCGAGCGAGAGGGGAAG